UCCUAUUCGCCAGUUCGGCCACGUCUUUCAGCCAACUCGGAACGUUACGGAGGAAACUACGUGGAAACCGCGCGCGUUCUGUACUACGUUCUGUGCCGUUCUGCGGAUAGUUUUAAUCGUCGAUGUCGAUGUCGAUAGGUGAGUGACGUUCCACGCAUCUGUCAUCGUGCGAAAGAGACGGACGGUGUGCGAGAGGGACGGACGAUCGCGUGCUCCGAUGUAAACAAUGCGAUUUGCGGCGGAAGUGCGUCAUGCGGCCGUGACGUCACGGCGGCCACCGGAAGCACAAUGGCGCCGCGCCGGAACCGGAAGUCAUUGCCUGACAUCUUAUCCGAGUCCGUGCGCCUGAUAGAGGCUUCGCAGAAGGCGCCUAAUGAAGAUCUUAAUUGGGUGUGCGCGUGUGUCCGCGCCCUUAUCGACAGAUCCAUGGGCUAUCCUGCAUCCAGCAUUGGCAGUACCAGAAGCUCUCAAUUAAAAGCCUUGGACAAAAGAAUGUACCUAUCGUCUCAAGGAUAUACCUAAAUAAGUGCACAACUUCAAGAUACAAUUCAUCAUCCUCGGAACAGCAAAAACUCACCAACGAAGAGACAGUUCACCAAUGAUGGCUUAUCAAGCUCUCCGGGUUGUUGCACAAGAGAUUCAGAACCUGAGAUUCAGAAAUCCUCAUUUCCAUUUAAAAUUUAAAAUUAAAAUUAAGAGUUAUUAAAAAAACUCUAGUAGAUGCAGAAGAAAUCUUAGAGCCAGAUUGGAACUCUAAGGUCCAUCUUACCAUUUCCCCACGACAAAGUAAAGUGAUUCAGAAUAGCGAAAAUCAACUGACUUUUUCUAUUGAUUACUUUUCUGACUCAGUUAUGUAAUACAUGGUAUGAGGUUUUGGACGAUUUUCUAAUUUUCAAAUAGGCUCAUUUAUAGGUAAUCUAACGAUUUAAAGUUCCGAUAAAACGCCGCGUAUCGGCGUCAGAAAUAUGAGUAGGUAUAAUAAGGUUGUACCAUUAGGUGAAGUAGCCAAAUGUCAGCAGAGAGAAGUUGAAAGGCCGAACGGAGACGUUCGAACGCGUCUCCAGGAGACCGCGACAGCGUGUCAACGUCUCAGUCUCCGAACGUCUCAAUGAGUGCGCCUAAGCGUAUCACACACGGCGCGGAUGCAGAUCAAUUAGCAUUUCCUCAAACGUGGCACGUUUACACGCCGGAACAAAAUCGCUAAAACUUAAGGGGCGACGACACCGCGCUCCGAACGCUCCAAAUGUAUUCAAAUAUAUGCGCGAUUAAUUCAGCCGGCAUAGCCAACGGGACGGUGUUAGUAGUGGCAGCCAAUCUCACUUUCUACGCGGAUCGAUGGGGCCGUGACCUUCGCAAUGCCUCUUAUUUGCUUCUGGAUACCUUUUUUUGGGUGUCCCAGACCAGUUUUGGGGUGAUUUUGGACAGGAAACUGCGUAACUUCGACCAAAAGUCGCCUCAAGGAGCAGAGUUUCACAAUUGUCGGGCGAUAUGACGUUUUCUUACAACUUCAUGGAAUAACUGAAUCUUGAUAUUUUUGAAACUUUCUUUUUUUUGAUGAAUAACAGUAGCUAUAACAUUCGCAAGUAGAAAUUUGAAAACUUAGAAAAAUUUGGGAAAAAUUGUUUUCUUACAAUCGUCUCUGGAUUAAUAGUUUAGACUUUGAUAAUAUUUCUUAUUUGAAUAUAUUUGAACAAAACAAAAUACCCAUAAUUCACUAGGUAGACAGAUUUAGGCCAUGAUCUUCUGUUCUGGGCUAUGUUUUUUGACAUCGCAUGAUAUUCUAUACAUUUUACCUAAUAUUAGAAAAUUCAAGUAGGUACCUAGUUUAAAACAAAACUUAAGCUCAAUUGAAAUUUCUAAUAAGUUAAUAUUAUAAGGAUUAUGACUUUAAUUUUUUGACUUUUAACUUUAAUUUGGUCUUUAUAAGCAAGAAAUUUAAGAAUGAAAAUAUGUCCUCUACCUAUCUAACCGUCUCUAAAUUUACUUUUUAUUGGAACCCUUAUUUUUAAUUAAUUUUCUUCAUCUGAAAUGAACAUAUACCCUGAUAGUUUGCAAGUUGAGGUAUCAAUUUAUCGAAAUGACAUUUAUAAGCUAGAACAGCAAAUCAGUUCCACUAACUGGAUAUAAAAAUGAGAAAUUCGAGAUAUUAGGUAAGUACAUCAAAUGUUCUCCAACAAAAGAGCGAUGCACAAAAAUCCAAAUCGCAUCAGUCCGUACCCCGCUUUAUUACAGCUAAAAGCGUUACAGGCAAAGGUUCGCGCUCAAAGAGAGCGCCCUUGUAAAAUUCCUUUUCAGUCUCGGAGGAAUUCAAGACUCGAGUACACGUACAAGUGGUACACAUAAAAAUAGAUAGUCUGUGGGGCGUAGGUGGCGCGCGCGUGUGCGUGCGACGUGACGCGCUUUGCGCCUGUGUGCGUGGAAUGCGGUGCACGGGAGUCGCUGUAGCGCGACCGAGGAGUCGAGACAUUUUGUGACGUCACCUGAUUAAUUUAAACAAACAAUUUUUGUUUAUAAGAAUACCAACGGACGCCCGUGACUUGGUCUGCGUGAAACCCUACCCCUACCCUAAGUAUUCUUUGUUCUUCUCCUGGGUCUAAGCUACUUAACCAACAAUUUUCAGCCAAUCUAGUUUAGCCGUUCUUGCCUUAUAAAUAGUGUAACCACCACGACUUUUUUUAUAUGUAACUAUAAGUUUAUACUUAUUGAAAGAGUAAAGUCGAUUUAGUUAGGUAUACUUUUAAAUUUUGUGAUUGCCUGUAUGGAUAUAUUUUCUUACAAACCAAAAUUGUUAUUGUUAACAAUUACCAUCUGUAACAUGUUUGAGAUAGUUUCAUUUGUUUCUUUGUAAUGGAAUAUUAUCAUAAUAUGUAUUUUAUUUAUUUAUAGUAAAUAAUAAACAAGUGUC